rnacentral:rRNA from 1 species
GGGAAGCCCGUUUCAAGAUAAGGUUUCGUUUGAGGUUCCCCAUAGACCAUGGGGUUGAUAGGCCGGAUCUGGAAGCACAGUAAUGUGUGGAGGUGACCGGUACUAAUACACCGAAACAAAACAACAC